rnacentral:piRNA from 1 species
UGUGCCGAAUUUGAAUUGUCUUUUUAAU